CCUACGGGUGGCUGCAGUGGGGAAUAUUGCACAAUGGGCGCAAGCCUGAUGCAGCGACGCCGCGUGGGGGAUGACGGCCUUCGGGUUGUAAACUCCUUUCGCCAGGGACGAAGCGCAAGUGACGGUACCUGGAGAAGAAGCACCGGCCAACUACGUGCCAGCAGCCGCGGUAAUACGUAGGGUGCGAGCGUUGUCCGGAAUUACUGGGCGUAAAGAGCUCGUAGGCGGUUUGUCACGUCGUCUGUGAAAUCCUGCAACUCAAUUGUAGGCGUGCA
rnacentral:rRNA from 1 species